GUCUUUUGGUUAGUCCUGGUAACGAAUCUUUUAGGUGCGCGGUUACCAAGGGUAAAUAGCGCGAGAUUUGAAUCUUGAACAACGAUGACAAAAUAUUGUUGAAACUUUUUUAUCCGAACCAAAUACAAAUAUUCCAAAUGAAGGCUAAACGAAAGACACCUAGCUGUGGCGGGGAAAGGAAAAAGAGGAAGUCUGAAAUCAAGAGAGAGUAUUUGCAUGAAUGUAGCAACAAAGAAAAUGUCCCUCCUGAUGACAAAGGAGAACCUGAAAAGAAAAGAAGACCACGAAAACGUGAAGGAAAAGGACUGUCAUUAGAUUCUGGUCGAGCAGCGAUUUUGGCUAAUAAUAGAGAACUUGCAGUUGCAUUAGAGGAAGCACAGAUCAAAAUCAACAAGUUGAACCUUACAAAUGUUGAAAUUAAGAAACAGUUACAAGGGGAGAGACAGAUGUAUAUUGACAAGCUACAAAGAGAAGUGGAUAAACAACUAAAGGAAAAGUUUGAUAAAAUCAAUCAAGUGCUCCAAGAGGUCAUCUCCAAAUUCCUUGAGUGUUCCACUCUAAUGCAGACCAUCAACAGUCUAGUUGCCUUUCCAACAGCUCCCACAACAACCCCCCUUACCUACUCCCUCCAUGCCUUGUCAUUCAACACCACCCCUCCCCCAGAUGAGCCUGUGGGUUGGGACCCCAUGGAAGUUGGACCAACUAUAUCGACUCCUGGGCCUGACGACUUUGUUAUUCAAGAGAACAAUGAUUUUACUACUGCCUUUGUUGAGCCCAUGCAAAUGGACGAGCUCAGUUUCAUGGGUGGGGAGACAGACCUUUUACACAACAGAAAGCCAGGCAAAGACACCAACAGGAUCACUCAAAGUCCACGGGAGAGAAUGAGUCCAACAGCAUACAGGAUGACAAGAACUCCAAAACAAGCUCGGAGCUCUGUAAACUUGAACAGCCAAACUACCCCGUUAAUCCCUGCUACUGAGAGGGCUUUACGCAGAACCCCUAGUGUUACUUACACCAUGCCCAGCCUGCGCAGCAAGCUAAGGAGAGGGGAUCCGUUCACCGAUUCAUCUCUCUACAAUGCCUUUCCCGAAAGUGAGUACCAUCACCAGAGAACCCUUCAAACAGAAUAACCUAUACACAACCUGGUCAAAGUGAGAGAGAAAAUGCCCUCGAGUGUCUACGGGCUGUUUGAAAAAGAGACCAAGGUCAGUGCUGUCCAACAUCUCCAAUACUAUCAGUGAAGAAACCUAGAAAACCAAGAGAUUGGACGAGAUGGGCUGCUAGCUGGGCUGUCCGCCCGAUCAACGAAGGGAACCAAAUGUAGAGAAGACGCAAUGAAAAUAUCUGUCUGCUCAUCGUCUGUAUCACACAAUAAUAAAUGUAUUUCGCGCUG